CCUACGGGCGGCUGCAGUGAGGAAUAUUGGUCAAUGGUCGGGAGACUGAACCAGCCAAGCCGCGUGAGGGAUGACGGUCCUGAGGGUCGUAAACCUCUUUUGUCAGGGCACAAAGGCGGGGACGUGUCCCCGGAUGAGUGUACCUCAAGAAAAAGCAUCGGCAAACUCCGUGCCAGCAGCCGCGGUAAUACGGAGGAUGCGAGCGUUAUCCGGAUUUAUUGGGUUUAAAGGGUGCGUAGGCGGGCUGUUAAGUCAGCGGUCAAAGUCCGGGGCUCAACCCCGGCCCGCCGUUGAAACUGGCAGUCUCGAGUUGGAGAGAAGUAUGCGGAAUGCGCGGUGUAGCGGUGAAAUGCAUAGAUAUCGCGCAGAACUCCGAUUGCGAAGGCAGCAUGCCGGCUCCACACUGACGCUGAGGCACGAAAGCGUGGGUAUCGAACAGGAUUAGAUACCCUUGUAGUC
rnacentral:rRNA from 1 species